AAGGUUUUAAGUUAAUUUUAAACUAUUAUCCUUCAAAGUUAAAAAUAUAAUAAUUAUAGGCCUUA
rnacentral:tRNA from 1 species